rnacentral:rRNA from 1 species
CAUCCUGUUAAGUCAGGCAACGAGCGAGACCCACGCCAACAGUUGCCAGCUCGUCCUCCCGGGGAUGGUGGGGACACUGUUGGGACCGCCUCUGCUAAAGAGGAGGAAGGAAUGGGGCAACGGUAGGUCAGCAUGCCCCGAAUUAUCUGGGCUACACGCGGGCUACAAUGGGUGGGACAAUGGGUAUCGACACCGAAAGGUGAAGGCAAUCUCCUAAACCCAUCCGUAGUUCGGAUUGUGGGCUGCAACUCGCCCACAUGAAGCUGGAAUCUGUAGUAAUCGUGUCUCAAAAUGGCACGGUGAAUAUGUCCCUGCUCCUU